GUGAUCGGUCAUUACUUCGGCAGCCAUUUUGAUCUGUCAUUUGAGCCAGAGAUCCACACGGUGAAACAUCUCUUUUUUAUCUCACGUCAUUCAUCCGUGUAAGCCUUGGAGAAGCUUUGUUUUAAUGGUGUCGAUCCCGGACUACAGGGGUAUGAGGAGCCGAGGAGCACGAUGGGCUGGCCUGCUAGAGGAGGUCGAGGAUGAACCGAUGGAUGGUUGGACCUGUGGACGGUUGGAGCGGUGGACGGUUGGUCCUGUGGACGGUUGAACGGUGGACGGUUGGUUCUGUGGACGGUUGGAGCGGUGGACGGUGGGGCCUGUGGACGGUUGGACCGGUGGACGGUUGGUUCUGUGGACGGUUGGAGCGGUGGACGGUUGGGCCUGUGGAUGGUUGGACCGGUGGACGGUUGGGCCUGUGGACGAUUUUACCUUUGGACCGUUGGACCGGUGGACGAUUUUACCUGUGGACCGUUGGACCGGUGGACCGUUGGACCUGAGGGGUGUAUGUAGGGCCAGUCUGGGCACACGGCAGCCUGGGAUGGCCUCAGGCCCCUGAAGGAGGGCAGGAGAGCAGCUGGAUCAGAAGUUUGGCAGCCAUUUGUCUUUGCCUGUAGCAGUUUUUUGAGCUAUUCUUGAGGUGGGAGUCUAGUUACGUGUCCCAGGUGUUGACUUCCCUGGAAGGGGGAGGAGCCUAAUUUUGUCCGGAGUGAAGCUUCAGUUGGUUUGACGGAUGUAAACUAAGCUGUAGAAAGAUGUGCUUGUGAGGUUGUGUUGUAGGGGAGGCUCCUGAUUAAGACACACAGCUUUCUGUUACACUGUGAGGCCACCUGGGAUAAAGACAAAUAUAAGGUUGGCUCAACUAUCAUUUAGUUUGUCUACAUAUGUGAGACACACACUACUCUCCCAUUAGAGCAGUCAUCCCCCCCACACACACACACACACACACACACACACACACACACACACACACACAAAGAAGCA
ensembl:lncRNA